rnacentral:rRNA from 1 species
AUUGAACGCUGGCGGCAGGCCUAACACAUGCAAGUCGAGCGGAUGAAGGGAGCUUGCUCCUGGAUUCAGCGGCGGACGGGUGAGUAAUGCCUAGGAAUCUGCCUGGUAGGGGGGGAUAAAGGUGGGAAACGGGCGCUAAUACCGCAUACGUCCUGAGGGAGAAAGUGGGGGAUCUUCGGACCUCACGCUAUCAGAUGAGAGUAGGUCGGAUGAGCUAGUUGGUGGGGUAAAGGCCUACCAAGGCGACGAUCCGUAACUGGUCUGAGAGGAUGAUCAGUCACACUGGAACUGAGACACGGUCCAAACUCCUACGGGAGGCAGCAGUGGGGAAUAUUGGACAAUGGGCGAAAGCCUGAUCCAGCCAUGCCGCGUGUGUGAAGAAGGUCUUCGGAUUGUAAAGCACUUUAAGUUGGGAGGAAGGGCAGUAAGUUAAUACCUUGCUGUUUUGACGUUACCAACAGAAUAAGCACCGGCUAACUUCGUG